ensembl:snRNA U4 U4 spliceosomal RNA
AGCUUUGCGCAGUGGCAGUAUCGUAGCCAAUGAGGUUUAUCUGAGUCACGGUUAUUGCUAAUUGAAAGAUUUUCUGAGAUGCCUGCAUCUCCUAAUAGAGCUACUGGGUUCUAGGCCUGGCUUUGCUCCCUAUGCCA